AGUGAUUUGAUGAAAAAUUAAGUCGCUGUAACUUUUUUGCCUGACCUAGUUCUGGUGGUAUGCCCCCUGACAAACUUUGAAAUCUCUUAUAUUAA